rnacentral:lncRNA from 1 species
UCCUAACCUCUUCAAGGGACAGAAUCAAGACUGGGAGAACUAAAACUCUCCUCCACUGUGAUCUACUAGAUGAAGGCUUCUCCAAAAGGAAUACAUCAAAGAGAUGCAGUUUCUAUUUCUGCAUAAGUCCUGCAACAACGUGUUAACUCUAUCAUCAGUGCUUUCAAACGGAGGAACUGAAGCCCCAGAGAAAGGAAGAAACUUGUCCACUCUAAAAAACAAUGGUCUAGGUAGGAGCCUAAGUUUCAACUCUUCCAUAAACUGUGUAACCUUGAGUAAGUCCUGCCCCUCUUUGAGACUGCUUUUAUAGAAUUGUAAAGUGAGUUAGGUUGACCAGAUGACCUUUAAAGACUCUCCAUUUAUAGUGCCUACAUAUGUUUCAUUUUCUUAAGUCUCAAUCCAGCUGCC